rnacentral:rRNA from 1 species
GAUGAACGCUGGCGGCGUGCCUAAUACAUGCAAGUCGAGCGAACAGACGAGGAGCUUGCUCCUCUGACGUUAGCGGCGGACGGGUGAGUAACACGUGGAUAACCUACCUAUAAGACUGGGAUAACUUCGGGAAACCGUAGCUAAUACCGGAUAAUAUAUUGAACCGCAUGGUUCAAUAGUGAAAGACGGUUUUGCUGUCACUUAUAGAUGGAUCCGCGCUGCAUUAGCUAGUUGGUAAGGUAACGGCUUACCAAGGCAACGAUGCGUAGCCGACCUGAGAGGGUGAUCGGCCACACUGGAGCUGGGACAAGGUCCAGACUCCUACGGGAGGCAGCAGUAGGGAAUCUUCCGCAAUGGGCGAAAGCCUGACGGAGCAACGCCGCGUGAGUGAUGAAGGUCUUCGGAUCGUAAAACUCUGUUAUUAGGGAAGAACAAAUGUGUAAGUAACUGUGCACGUCUUGACGGUACCUAAUCAGAAAGCCACGGCUAACUACGUG